CCUUCGAUAGCUCAGUUGGAAGAGCGUGAGACUGUAAUUGAUACUAAGUUACCUACACGUGCCUAUCACGUGAUCUCGAGGCCAUCGGUUCGAUCCCGAUUCGAAGGA